GUAGGUCGUUGUUGAAGUUGUUGUGGUACCAGUGCUUGAAGAGGUCAUUGUUUGAGUUCUUGUGGUAUCAUUGCUUGAGUAUGUCGUUUUUGGAGUUGUUGUAGUAUCAGUGCUUGAGUAGGUCGUUGUUGGAGUUGUUGUAGUAUCAGUGCUUGAGUAGGUCGUUGUUGGAGUUGGAGUAUCAGUCCUUGAGUAGGUCGUUGUUGGAGUUGUUGUAGUAUCAGUGCUUGAGUAGGUCGUUGUUGGAGUUGUUGGAGUAUCAGUCCUUGAGUAGGUCGUUGUUGGAGUUGUUGUAGUAUCAGUGCUUGAGUAGGUCGUUUUUUGAGUUGUUGGAGUAUCAGUCCUUGAGUAGGUCGUUGUUGGAGUUGUUGUAGUAUCAGUGCUUGAGUAGGUCGUUGUUGGAGUUGUUGUAGUAUCAGUCCUUGAGUAGGUCGUUUUUGGAGUUGUUGUGGUAUCAGUGCUUGUAGAUUCACCCAAUGUGU